GACGUAGGGGGCGAGCGUUGUCCGGAAUCACUGGGCGUAAAGCGCGCGCAGGCGGCCCGAUAAGUCGGUAGUGAAAACACGGGGCUCAACCCCGUGCCUGCUGUCGAUACUGUCGGGCUCGAGGUAGGGGAGAUCGGAAUUCCUGGUGUGGCGGUGAAAUGCGCAGAUAUCAGGAGGAACACCGGUGGCGAAGGCGGAUCUCGGGGCCUUACCUGACGCUCAGGCGCGAAAGCGUGGGGAGCAAACAGG
rnacentral:misc_RNA from 1 species